rnacentral:lncRNA from 10 species
AGAGACAUAGGUUGCACAUACUGAUCUCAGUUUCUGUUAGGUGCAUAUAAAUAAAAAAAAGUUUCUUCAUUUUAUUAAAGCCCUAUUUUUGUAUCAUUUUUAGUAAUGUAUAUACCAACAUAAAUGCUUGAUCUCAGUCUCUCCUGAUAAUUACAAAUCAACAUAUCCAAUGCUUAAAGUUACUGUUAAAUUAAUGUAGAAUUGUCAGGUCUUCAUUAGAAGUAGUAAGUAGAACACAGAGAUUGGUCAAAUUUUUCAGUACUUAUACUUUUGAAAAAAAGAAAAGAGUAUUCUAUUCCUGCCAAUUAGUAUAGUCUUUACCCUGAUAAACAAUGUCAAUAUACAUUAUGAUUUUAAUUAUAAACCCCCUGGAGACAGCAAGUAUGUUUAUAUUUUAUUAGUCAUUGUACUUAAGAAGCCCCAAAGCUCUCUAUUCCUAGUUCAGAUUUUCUUUUGUUUGUGUGUGUUUUUGUUUUUUUUUGGAUGAAGGUUAAGAGGAAGCUUUCUUUCUUACUUAAAGGUUUGUAUGCUGGGCAGAUAGUUAAUGGUACAGAAAUCCAAGCUUUAUUUGGGGGAACAAGAGAGCAGACAGGACAUAGAGGUCUUAUUGGCAGAAGUGGCAAAGUAGGGGACAAUCUUUCAUAGGAUCAUAAAAUUAUAGCCCCCAAACACAAUCUAGUGAAAUCACCUUGUUUCUAAGAAGGUUUUCACAAAGAGCUAAUACUAAAGAAUUGGGGUUACAGAAUACAUGGUAUUAUCCAUGCCAAAUACAAACACAUGGACAUCUUUAUUGGAGGAGAAAUUUGUUCUGCUCAAGAGCAUCUUAAAGAUUUCUAUUUCCCAGUCAUUAUUCUUUCCCACAAUCCCCUCCCAAUAAUUAGUCCAGAGGUAGGUCUGGGUUCCCAUGGUGGCAGGAUAUUCAAAUAUCUCAAGAUGGCUCACCAUGUCAUGAAUGACAUCUUAAUUAAUCAGUCUUCAAACAGGGGACACAGUGAGAAUAAGGACUCCAUGUUUCCUGAUCUCAAAACACACUUGAGAGUUAAGAGCAUGGGAAUGACACUUCUGUGAAUUACCACUUGGUGCCUGUUCAUUUUUCUCUUCUGAGCAAAGUCCUCUCUUGUGAAAUUCUAAUACUUUGCAUAGAAUAUUCAGAAUUUCCAGACCUCAUCGUUGAAGAUUUCUUUUGCCUUCACAGUCAUAAAUAUGUUGUAAGAUUUGUGUUCCCAAGAUCAAAGACAGGUCUCACAAGGGGUCCCCUGCUCUACUACCAGGACACCAACAUUUGUUCUUGGUGCAUCUUACAUCAGCAAUCUUUGAAAUUCAUUAGGUGAGGUCCUAUAUCCUUUGUUGUAUCAGUCAUCAUCCCCAGCACAGGUUAAACCUCAGAUUUCUCCACUCUAAGUGUCCUUGCCCUCAGGGAGGGUGACAGGAUGUGGGGUUUCUUUCCAAUGUUUUAGGACACACUCAUAGCAAAACAUGUCCACAUCCUGUUGCAAUCAGUGUGGUCAAAUAGUGUGGAACAAAUCAGCCCUUCCUGAUAUCUUCUGCAUCUGAGGCAACCGUGUCCCUUAUAUGAUGUCUGUAGUCAAAGGUUAGACUAGACUAGACAAAGGUUGGUUAGAAAACCAACUCUCAACCACAGACCUUGGUAGUUUCACAACUGUUUUUAAAUAAUCUCUUACUUCCUCCUUCCUCUCCCUUAUCAAUGGGGAAAUGGUGGGAGUCUCUGGAGCAGAAGCCAUAAGCUAAUGAAAUGUCAUGGGACUGGACACACUAAUGUUAAGGUCUAUGGGCUUUACAUCCACAGUUCCAAAAAUCUGUCAUCUCAGAGCAUUAGCAUCCAGCUAUUUUUUUUUUAGUUUUUGUAGAGAUGGGGUUUCACCAUAUUGGCCAGACUGGUCUUGAACUCCUGGCCUCAAGUGAUCCACCUGUGUCGGCCUCCCAAAGUGCCCUGAACCAAUACGCCUGGCCAAGUGUGUCUCUCUUUAAAUAACUCUCCCCCUUUUUUUCUGUUCCACAUCAUCCUGUUUGGAAGAUAGAGAUUUCAUUUUGCAGCACUUCUCCCAAACACUUGUCAUCUUCCCUUUGGGAGUCUCUGUCCAGGGAAUCUUAUUAUUUAGGAAAAAUUUUUAGAUGUGUCUUACCAAAGUCUCGGAUAUAUAUCUAAUGAUGUCCAACUCUCCCUAUCAUGAACUCUAGAAUAACCUGACCACUUUUGCCCAUGGGUUUCUGUCACUUCUACUUUUCAGACUGGUUCCUUCCGGUGGCCAGCAUUUGGUACUUCCUCUACUUUCUGUGAAGACUCUCAUUUAGUUAAAAAAAAGAAAAAAAAAAUUACUGAUGCCGUGGAGCAUAGUAUUUGUAGAUACAAAGGACCUCAGAGGUCAGCCCCUCUCACUUGUUAUAUGAGGCAUCUAAAGUUCUAAGGACUGAGAUGUUUGCCCAAGGUCAUGUAGUUAAUAAAUAUCAUCUAUAUCAGGCCACUUCGUAUGAUUGGGCAGGAUGUUUAUUACCAAAAAGCAACCACCUGACGGGUGAGUAGGGACCAAAAUCCAGUCUGUGCUCCUCUUGCCUUGCCAAGCUGUGAGUCCUGCUUAGGACUCUAUGCCACACCCCACCACCAGAGAAAAAGGCCUCUCUGUGAUUUUUAUAAAGGCACUAUUUGGCUAAUAGUGACGCUAAUCUAUAUGUAAACUUUUCUUCUAAUUAUCUCAAACCUAAGUGUUAGAAAAAAGUUAAUUAGGAAGAAACUUUGCAUUUUUAUUUUAAAGGAAUUAGUAUCCUAUAACUUUUAUGUUCCUAACAAUUCUUACAUCUUUUUCAAAUGCUAUUUGUUAAUUCUUAAGCAAUCUUGGCAUUCACAGAUUGGGUUGUUUGUUUGUUUGUGGAAACAAGGUCUCACUAUGUUGCCUAGGCUGGUCUCAGACUCCUGGGCUCAAGCAGUUCUCCCGCCUCAGCCCCCCAAAGUGCUGGAACAACAGGGAUGAGCCACCAUGCCUGGCCAGAUUUGAUCAUUUUUGCUUCACCUACUCAAAUUAUGGGGAUGGGGUACAGAUUCAUUUUUGCUUCACCUACUCAAAUUAUGGGGAUGGGAUACAGGUUCAGACUAGGGUCUCAGGAUCCAGGACUCUGCUUGAGAAUAAGAAGGGCUGGCCCAGGGUUAUAGGGUGGAACCAAAGAGAGACUUAUGCCCCCACCCACAUAAGGGCAGCUUUCUGUCUGAUACAAAGGACCUAGUCCAAGGAGACAAGAACUUAAUCACAAGGGAAAAGUCUGGAGUAGAGGACAGGACAGAGAGUAGUUCAGAGGCAGACGCUGGAAAGAUUUCCUGAGACAAAGGUUCCUGGGGAGUGUUCUUUUGUAGGGGCCUCCUGUGUGCUUUGGAUAAAACUGGAAAGUCCAAAAGGCCUAGUCAGCCUGCAGAGCUCCGAGGCAAUGCAACAAUGCCACUGGAGGUCAAGAGGAGGCGAUGACAUCAGAGACCAAUGACCUGGUUUCAGUGGGACAAAACACUGCAACAAGAGCCCAGCAAGUGCCCACUGGGCCAAACAAAAGCCCACUGUGAACCAGCCACAACACCACCAAUGCCACGUGAGUGCAUAAACUUUCCCUCUCCCCAAGGCCAUCUUGGCUAAGGGAAGAGGAGAGAAGAAAAUGCCUAAAACGCUGAGCAUUUCCCCAAAAGAGAUUAGGUUAACCCCAAAGUAGACUCUGGCUACCUUUACUUGGAAAGUUUAUGUUUGGUGAUCUACCUUCACUUCAUCACUCUAUCUCGCCAUCAGAGGAAACGGGGCCUUCUGGACAAGAAGAGAAUAGUUACAGAAAACAAGAAGGCUACGUGUUCAAGCUUUGAAUUCAACUUAACCCCAUUACACCUGGUCCCUCGGAUCCCAGAGGACAUGCUUUGCACAUUAUUCAGAAGUUACAGAGUUCAAAUAUAAACGUAGAUGACUCUUUUGAUGCCCUUGAGGUUGGCUUUUAUGCAUCAAAAAAGGUUAUUCAGAGGUUACUUAGCUUUAAAAAUUAAUAUUUAAUUUACUAAAGUUACAACUUAAAAACUUCGCUUACCGCCAGGCAUGGUGGCUCAUGCCUGUAAUUCCAGUACUUUGGGAGGCCAAGGCGGGCGGAUCACAAGGUCAGGAGUUCGAGACCAGCUUGGCCAACAUGGUGAAACCCCAUCUCUACUAAAAAUACAAAAAUUAGCUGGGCAUGGUGGUGCACGCCUGUAAUCCCAGCUACUCAGGAAGCUGAGGCAGGAGAAUUGGUUGAACCUCGGAGGCGGAGGUUGCAGUGAGCCAAGAUUACCCCACUGCACCCCAGCCUGGGUGACAGAGCGAGCGAGACUCCAUCUCAAAAAAAAAAAACUUCAUUGACCUUAAGAUUUAAGUUCAACUUAGAAUUCUUGUUGUUCUUUCAGAAAUAUAGCAAAUUUUAAAAGCACUUGAAGGGCCUAAAUAUGGUUUGGUUCCAUUAACAAAUGCUAUUAGAUAAACUCCUUAAAACCUCUUAAAGUGCAUUUAUAAAUUUAACAUUAUUUAUUUUCUUAAUAUCAAUAAUUAUUCAAUUUAAUGUCAAAACUUUCCUGGGAACCUAAAUAAUGCAUACAAAUCUAGUAGAUCAAACACAUAAAUAUGGUGAUUUUUAAGUUCUUAAAAGAUCUUAGUAACAAUCUGACUUAGAAUGUAAGUCACUCCCUUUGGUGUUUAGGAAACACAAGACUGAUCUCUAGUUUCAACAGACCAAAUUCUCUUAAACAUUGCAACUACUUACAGUAAGUAAUGUACACAUUAAUACAAAAAUAUGAAUACUGUAGAUAAUAUCCUCUUAAACAUUUCUACUCCUAAAUCUAAAUCUUCGCAAGGUUGGAAUAUGAUUACCCACCAUAUUAGUUUGCAAGAACUGCUAUGACUAAAUACCACAAACUGGGUGGCUUAAGCAACAGAAAUUUAUUUUCUCAUAGUUCUGGAGGCUGGAAAGUCCAAGGAGUCAGUAGGUUUGGUUUCUUCUGAGGCCUCUCUUCUUGGCCUGCAGAGACCAGCCUUCUCACUGUGUCCCCAGGUGGUCUUUCUUCUGUGUAUAUACAUCCUUAGUGUCUAUUUUUCUGUCCAAAUUUCCUCUUUUUAAAAAUUUUUCAUUUUUUUUAAUUUUUAUUUUUUUGAGUUGGGGCCUUGCUCUGCUGCCCAGGCUGGAAUGCAGUGGUGCAAUCAUGGCUCACUGCAGCCUCAACCUCCGGGCCUCAAGCAAUUCUUCCCGCUCAGGUUCCUCAGGUGUACACUACCAUGCCCGGCUAAUUUGUGUAUUUUUUAUAGAGAUGGGGGUCUCGAUAUGUUGCCCAGGCAGGUCUCAAACUCCUGCCCUCAAGCAAUCCUCCUACCUCAGCCUCCCAAAGUGUUGGGAUUACAGACAUGAGUCACCAGCCCCACCCCAAAUUUCUUCUUAUUAUAAGGACACCAGUCAGAUUGGAUUAGGACCCACAUUAAUGGCCUAAUUUUAAUUCAGUCACCUCUUUAAAGGCCCUAUCUCCAGGCCAGGCAUGAUGGCUCACACCUGAAAUUUCAGCACUUUGGGAGGCUGAGGUGGGCAGAUCACCUGAGGUUAGAAGUUCAAGACCAGCCUGGCCAACAUAGUAAAACCCCAUAUCUACUACUAAAAAUACAAAAAUAGCCAGGCAUGGUGGCAUGCACCUGUAGUCCCAGCUACUUGGGAGGCUGAGGUGGGAGGACCACUUGAACCCAGGAGGCGGAGGUUGCAGUGAGCCAAGAUUGUGCUACUGCACUCCAGCCUGGUCAACAGAGCAAGACUCUGUCUCAAAAUAAAUAAAAAAUAAAUAAAGGACCUAUCUCCUAAUAAGUCCCAUUCUGAGAUACUCGGAGUUUGAGCUCCAACAUAUAAAUUUGGAGGGGGAGACACAAUUCAGCCCAUAACAUUCACCAGGGAGACCAUUGUGUCAACCCAACAAUUUGAGAGAUGCCUUUCCAGGACAAUUCCUUGCCAGGAGGAUGACUGAAUGUUGCUGGUGACCUUGAUGGAACAUACAGAGCCCUCCUUAGAGUGAUUCUCAAGGGGUGGUCCUGUAGCCCUUAGAGUCCACAUAGUCUACAUCUCUAUUUCUUACUUUUGCCUCAUUACAGAGGACCACAUCCCCAUCCAGUCUGCUUGGUCAGCGUCCAUAUUUCUGCAAGUCUUUAAUAUAGUGUCUGUUAUCUAGCUCUGAAGACCAUGAGUUAGAUGGAAUUUUGCAGUUUUUCUAUAUCCUUCUUUCCUGGUAGAAUCACAAAACUCUUUUAGAUAUUGAAUUUAUUUCUUUCAAACCUUUUAUUCUAAUAAAGGCUGAAAGAAAAUACAAUAGACCCAUAUAUCCUUUGCUCAGGUUCAAUGGUUGUUUGUUAACAUUUUACCAUAUUUGCUUUCUCUUUCUCUCUCUCUGUCUCUCUCUUUCUCUCUUUCUGUCUCUCUCUCUCUCUCUCUCUCUCUCUGUGUGUGUGUGUGUGUGUGUGUGUGUGUGUGUGUGUGUGUGUGUGUGUAUGUCUAUGUGUCUGUCUGUCUAUAUUUGGCUGAGCCUUUUGAAAGUACAUUGUAGAAGUCAUGACACUUGCCAAGCGUGGUGGCUCACACCUUUAAUCCCAGCACUUUGGGAGGCCGAGGCAGGCAGAUCACGAGGUCAAGAAAUCGAGACCAUCCUGGCCAACCCACACGGUGAAACCCCGUCUCUCCUAAAAAUACAAAAAUUAGCUGGGCGUAGUGGCACAUGCCUGUAGUCCCAGCCACUUGGGAGGCUGAGGCAGGAGAAUCGCUUGAACCUGAGAGGUGGAGGUUGCAGUGAGCCAAGAUCACGCCACUGCACUCCAGCCCGGGCGACGGAGCGAGACUCAUCUCAAAAAAAAAAAAAAGACACUUCACCUAUAAAUAUUAAUACAUUAAUCUUCUCCUAGAAAUAUAGACAGUCUCAUACAUAAACAAUACCCUUUUUAUAUCUAAAAAUUAAUAGUAAUUUGAUAAUAUCCUCUAAUUUACAGUUUAUAUUCAAAUUUCACAAAUCCCAUAAAUGUCUUUUAUAGGUGUGUUUUUCCAGAGCAGUAUCCCAUCAUAUAUUUGCAUUUGGUUAUUAUAUCUCUUUAGUUCCCCUGCUUUUUUCCCCAUAAGAUUGGAAUGCUCCAUUAGGUGUUAAGGACACUGUUUGAGCACUUGGUUAAGAUGGUGAGUGCCAGGUCUCUCUAUGGUAACAGUUCUUUUCUUUUUGCAAUUAGUGAACAAUCUGUGGAGUGAUUCUUUGUCACCAUCGGGAAACAGAAAGACAGACGAUAUAUAGAUAGAUCCUGGAAAAGUUCUUUAGUUUUCUUUACAAAAAUAGCCAAAGAAUUUAUUGAGACUUCAUCGCCGAUCCAGGAACACACAUUACAGCAAGCUGCCAUCGUUGGGGUCAUCUGCCCCUUUGGGAAGGGAGCUUAAUUGGGC